AACAUUAAGCAUGUUAAAACAUAAUAUUCAGGAAGUACACAACCAUCAUUAUACACAGCAUAAACGCUGAGACAAUGAACAAAUCCAAGGAACUCAUUAAGAGCCCUAACUAUUACAUAACAGACAUCAAGAGGACUGCCACAAAAUACAAAAACAAACAAGACAACAGCCUUCCAAACAGCAGCCCAGCUUCCACCACACCUUCCAGCACCCCUCCAAGUCUUCAAUACAGCCAGGGAUAAUUAAUCAGAAGAAGAAGUAUCUCCUUCACCUUUAUCUUCAUCUUUAGAACCCUCAGAGCUUCUGGAGCUACCACUGGAUUGUGGUUUUCCAUCUAAAUCCUUUCCAGCCUUU
rnacentral:lncRNA from 1 species